UUGUUAGCUAACCCGGAAGAAAACAUGCAAAAACUCGCCAAAUCACGUGACUUGGAUAGAUUCUAAAACACAAAAUACGCACGGAACGGAAGAACUCGAAAAUCUCCUAUUAGGCAGCGUUGUAAUCGCGGAUUUACAUUAUCCCAAAACGGUAUGUUUUGCGGUAUGUAUGGUAGUGUUUCUGUGUGCGGAGACGCAGAGAACUCUGCAGGGGUGGAUCCAGGAAUUGCGGUUACGGGAGGGGGGCGCCACUUUAUGAGGCAGGGGGCCUGGGGGCGCCAUGAGUCUCCAGGGGGUCCAAGGGCAUAGCCCUGGUAGGGAUUCAGGGGGCAAAGCCGCCGGAAGCUCCUGGAUUUUACAGAUUUUAUAGGAAUCUCACUAUUCGCAACUUUAGGACUAGGCUAUUGCGCAUGCGCUAAUUCUCACCUUCACCUUCUGCAUCCAACAUGGCGCAAAGUUUGACAGUCUUUUUCGUAAGUAAUAUUUAUCAUUUCGUUAGUGGUUUAUUUCACUGAAAGUACAUUUUUAAACAAACGGAUCAUAAAUGCCCUUUCAAGAUGGAUAUCCUACAACAUUUCUGACCUAAAACACUGCUUUUAAAUGCAGUUUCACAUACAGAACAAGCAUGAGAAUUAGUAGGUCGGUUAGCUCUAAGUAUAAAUUGGUGGUAUCGAUAUGUUAAAUGUUUCAGGACAAUUUAAUUUGCAUGUUAUUUAUUCAAAUGGUUUAUUACAGGCACUCAAUCGUCAUGUUUUAUUUUAGCAGGUCAAGCUAUAUCUGUAUAUUACAUUGUGUAGAGUGAUAAGUAAGUAAAUUUUAUUUAAACUCGGCACUGUAUACAAUAGUAACAAAUAACAUGAGCUCUACAGAGCUCGUAAACUGACUAGGACAGACAAAACAAAAUAUCACAAGGUAAGCAUACAAAAAACACAGAUAUAGCCUACAUAUAUUUACAUGCAUACUCACUAUUCCAUUAUUUUGUUGAUCACCAUUGAUUCAUAUACUGUCUAGCUAUUCAGUAUCAUACUGUAUAGCUAGACAGUAUAUGAAUCAAUGGUGAUCAACAAAAUAAUGGAAUAGUAAUCAGAUUCCACAUCAUACUAAUUCAUGCUUCAAUGCACACAGGGUAGUGGACAGUUCACAACACAAAAGAAAUUCCCUCAUCUUGAAAAUUCUUAUAACAACAUACUACGUAGUAUUGUUAUGAAUUCUAGAACAAUGUUGUGGUUUAAAAGCUCAAGAAAUAAACAUAUUUAAAAAUUAUUAUGCGACUUUCUGGGUACGCCAUUGCACUUAGAAAUUCAAUCUUAUUUAGUCUAAACUAACUUAAAGUUCUAUAUUGUCAUAAAUUACUGUGCUGAUCAGUAAAUUUUAUUUUAAUUUGUGUCAUUUUUUGUAAGUGACAGUGCUUUCUACUGUAGUGUUUGGGAUAAAAGAAGGCAGUGACCAGUGCUCAGUUCCUGUAAGAAUAUACACAAUGUGGAUGGUACUUGAAAAGUUAUUAUGCUGGAGUUGAGAACAGAGGAUCCCUACCCUCAAUGGUGUCCUUCGGAUUGAGCUGAUGCAAGUGUCUUUAAAUCUUACAUCUGAGUCAUGGCUUCAAUCCUAAAAUUAGCCCCUCUGUUGUCCAAGAGUGCUGGACAGCCUGUUGAAAGUACCGAUCAGGAUGAAUAUCUGACAUCAUAUGGACUUCACAGACGACUUAUAGUAGGUGAUGGGAAUUGUCUCUUUAGGUCUGUUAGUCUUGCCCUCUAUAGAAAACAAAAUGAUCACCAAGAGCUAUGAAAUGCAGCAAUACAUGAAACUGAACAAAAUUUGGAUACCUUAGUUUCAUAUGUUUUCUUUCAUUCUAAUGGUAAUCUUAUGACUUAUCCAGAAAUUCAACAGGUACUGAAUAAUCUUAGGCAGUGAGGCACUUUUGCAGGGCAGGAAUCAGUUUUGGCAAUGUCUAGACAUUUUGGGAUCAAUUUAUUAGUAACUGUUGGUGGUGAUCAGGAUAAUAAAGUUGUGACUCUUGAACAUGACUUUGGAAACUCAAAUUCUAGAAUUCAUUUGAUUUGGAUGGGGGUAGGGGUGGGCAUUCUGAAGGAGUGACUGAAACAUCACCAUCAGACAAUUAGAGAGAACCAUUAUCAUAAGGAUUCAAAAGUAAUUGUUGCUGAAAUUUUUACCAUUCUGCAUGUAGGAAAUUUGACAAGGUGGACAAAACAAAACUGGAACUUAAAGAUGAUAAAUAAGAUGGGUAUUCCAUUUUAUUAUCAGAUAUACAUGUACAUGCAUGUCUAUUCCUUUCAAUGUCAUGCAUAAUGCAAGUAUGGAUAAUGUCUUAAAUAGACUAUAGACAAUGGGGAAGGGUAUAUGAAAAACAUUUUCUGUAGUUCAAUCAUGUUCAGUUUUCAUCUAACAGUUUGUUUCAGUUAAAAUUUUUCAGUUUGUUUUAUUGUAGGUAUUUGUGUACUGCCUGUCUAUCAAUGUAAAUGUUUAUUGCUUAAAAGAUUUCAAGGAGACCAUUCUAGCAGUAUGUGCUAUUAAAUUUCAAUUUUUUAACUGAUUGACAACUGUAACAGGCACCAAGUCAGUCCAGUAGUAGACUCACAAUGGCAGAUGAUCUUAUCCGGCAGCUCUAUGCCAGUGUCUCAUUGCAGAAUUGUCAAUGAAUUCAUGAUUAGACAGACAACAGUACAGUCAGAUUAUUUGUUGAUUAUUAGUAUUCUACUAACGUAGUUCCACCUUCCUGUGAUGCCAAAAGAUUUCACAAAGUCAAUGUGAUUUGUUUCAUUGCUGCAGAAUUUCAGUUCAAAAUGGGCCGAAACUUUCCUGGUUUCUUGAAUGUUUUAAUGUUUAAACAUGUGAAUUUUGAGAAAUGUAAAAAUAAAACUUGUAAAAACAUACAUGCAUUUAAAUGUAUAUUGGAAACCAGGAAGGUAUCAGAGAUUAUCCUCGACAAUUUUGGUGUCUCAGUUUGAUCUCUUCUCUGACUGAUGAGGCCCAGGGAGACAAACUGACAUACAUAGUCAUCAGAUUCAUUUACCAUGAAACUUGGUAGGGCUGUGUAGCCUUGUGAUUUUCAUACAGACUCACUUUUCAAUUAUGAUAGGGUGUAGAAAACCACAAGAUUUCUAUGCAUUACAUAACUUAUAUACAUUACAGAGUUGGUCAAUUCUGUAGAUCAAUAAAAGCUAUUUAAAUCACUUUAAAGGGAAUUUAUUUAAAACACCUUAAUAUUAAAAUGUAAUGAACUUGAUUAUUGCCAAUGAAGUUCUCAUAAAUAUUAUCUCUACUAUGCCAUAUGGAUUUUGCAAUAUUUGCAAAAUUAGUUUUAUUGUUUAAUAUCAUUAACUAUGAAUUUGUUAAAAUGAAAAUUGUACACAAAAUUAACAAGACCAAAUUUCCUUUACAGAGAUAAGGUUCCUGAAAAGACGUCAUAUGUACCAAAUUGAUGCAUCAACUCCUGCAAGGAAAUUUGUUGGGUUUUGUGAAAUAAAAGCGUAAUAUUUUCUCAAGAUUAAUGGAUGUUUUGAGAAGAUUAACACAUGUAUUCAUUUUACAGAUGUAGUAAACAGUUACUAUUGCAUACCAGUCAGCAUGGACAGAGUUAAAGGUUGCACAUGUUCAGUGAAAAGUACAUCAAGGAGAAUACAUUCGGCAGAAAUUUCUUUUAUUUUUAAUAAAUAUCAUAUAAAACAUUCAGAACAACUGGAUCCUGCAUGUACAUGUGUAUUACACUUGUAAACUGUCUUGGUUAUUGGGAGUACCAAACCAAUAGUCUGGCAAAUGAUUUAUAACCAGACUGUUAACAGGCUCUGUCCCUUGGUACACCCUGUAAUCAAGUCAACAAAUCAUGCUUUCUUCAACUUUUUAAAUUUUUUUUUUUUAAUUAUAUAGCACAAUUAUUUUCAUUUAUAUAAUUACUUAAACCUUCCGGCUUUAGACAUAAAACAUUUAGAACAACUGGAUCCUGCAUGUACAUGUGUAUUAUACUUGCAUACUGUAUUUUCUAAACUCUUAUACUGAUAUUGAUUACAACUUCACAUGUAUUCACACAACAUUAUCAUUAUCCACUGUCUCUGAAACUGGCACUGUCCUUAGAUGUGUGAAGCAGUUUGGUUAUUCUAUUGUAUAUUUCAUUAUGUUAGUUUAAAUUCAGUCUGAAAUCAGUAUUUCAUAUAUAAUCAUAGAUGUGUGCAAAGUAGUAGUAGAUCUGAAUGAUUGUUAUUUAUUUAUAUUGUUAUAAUUAAUUACUAGUUAAACUGUACGUGCCCUUGAUUGGUGAAUAAACUCAUUAUUAUUAUUAUAAAGUAAA